UACGUAGGGGGCAAGCGUUGUCCGGAUUUAUUGGGCGUAAAGAGCGUGUAGGCGGCUAGGUAGGUGGGUUGUGAAAACUGGAGGCUCAACCUUCAGACGUCAACCCAAACCCCCUGGCUAGAGUCCGGAAGAGGAGAGUGGAAUUCCUGGUGUAGCGGUGAAAUGCGCAGAUAUCAGGAAGAACACCCGUGGCGAAGGCGGCUCUCUGGGACGGUACUGACGCUGAGACGCGAAAGCGUGGGGAGCGAACAGG
rnacentral:rRNA from 1 species